GACGAACGCUGGCGGCGUGCUUAACACAUGCAAGUCGAACGGAAAGGCCCUGCUUUUGUGGGGUGCUCGAGUGGCGAACGGGUGAGUAACACGUGAGUAACCUGCCCUUGACUUUGGGAUAACUUCAGGAAACUGGGGCUAAUACCGGAUAGGAGCUCCUGCUGCAUGGUGGGGGUUGGAAAGUUUCGGCGGUUGGGGAUGGACUCGCGGCUUAUCAGCUUGUUGGUGGGGUAGUGGCUUACCAAGGCUUUGACGGGUAGCCGGCCUGAGAGGGUGACCGGCCACACUGGGCCUGAGAUGCGGCCCAGACUCCUACGGGAGGCAGCAGUGGGGAAUAUUGCACAAUGGGCGGAAGCCUGAUGCAGCCACGCCGCGUGCGGGAUGACGGCAUUCGGGUUGUAAACCGCUUUCGCCUGUGACGAAGCGUGAGUGACGGUAAUGGGUAAAGAAGCACCGGCUAACUACGUG
rnacentral:rRNA from 1 species